GACGAACGCUGGCGGCGUGCUUAACACAUGCAAGUCGAACGGAAAGGCCCUGCUUUUGUGGGGUGCUCGAGUGGCGAACGGGUGAGUAACACGUGAGUAACCUGCCCUUGACUUUUGGAUAACUUCAGGAAACUGGGGCUAAUACCGGAUAGGAGCUCCUGCUGCAUGGUGGGGGUUGGAAAGUUUCGGCGGUUGGGGAUGGACUCGCGGCUUAUCAGCUUGUUGGUGGGGUAGUGGCUUACCAAGGCUUUGACGGGUAGCCGGCCUGAGAGGGUGACCGGCCACAUUGGGACUGAGAUACGGCCCAGACUCCUACGGGAGGCAGCAGUGGGGAAUACUGCACAAUGGGCGGAAGCCUGAUGCAGCAACGCCGCGUGCGGGAUGACGGCCUUCGGGUUGUAAACCGCUUUCGCCUGUGACGAAGCGUGAGUGACGGUAAUGGGUAAAGAAGCACCGGCUAACUACGUG
rnacentral:rRNA from 1 species